GACGAACGCUGGCGGCGUGCUUAACACAUGCAAGUCGAACGGUGAAGCGCCUUCCUUUUUGGUGGGUGUGGAUGAGUGGCGAACGGGUGAGUAACACGUGAGUAACCUGCCCCCUUCUUCUGGAUAACCGCAUGAAAGUGUGGCUAAUACGGGAUAUUCUGGGUCUGUCGCAUGAUGGGUCUGGGAAAGAUAUUGUUUCGGUGGGGGAUGGGCUCGCGGCCUAUCAGCUUGUUGGUGGGGUGAUGGCCUACCAAGGCGGUGACGGGUAGCCGGCCUGAGAGGGUGGACGGUCGCACUGGGACUGAGACACGGCCCAGACUCCUACGGGAGGCAGCAGUGGGGAAUAUUGCACAAUGGGCGCAAGCCUGAUGCAGCGACGCCGCGUGAGGGAUGGAGGCCUUCGGGUUGUGAACCUCUUUCGCCAGUGAAGCAGGCCUGCCUCGUUUGUGGGUGGGUUGACGGUAGCUGGAGAAGAAGCGCCGGCUAACUACGUG
rnacentral:rRNA from 1 species